GUUCUCAAACGCUGCACGCUCGAAAUUCCUCCAAGGAACCUCUGCGAGCUUUUCUUUUUUCAUCACGCGCGGGCUAAAAAUAGAAACGGGGUUGGAUCGUGAUCCAGAAAUAGAUAGGGGACAUCACUCCUAUAAAAGGCACACCAUUCAAGAGUACAGUGUGUGCACAGUUUGAAGAAGCGAAAAAAGCCAGAGCAUAUUUUUGUAAUGGAGAAAGCUCUCUGUGUUUUUUUUUUCUUUCCUUUUUGUUCUUUUUUUUUCAUCCAUAUUUUUGUGGCACUUUUGAAAAAAAAAAAGGGAAUCCGUGUCCGCUGCUACAACGGUUCCUCUAUUACGUCACACAAGCUAUGCUGGGACACAGCAGCAGCAGCAGCAGCAGCAGCAGUGACCAAACCACAGCGAGGUCAGCAGGUGGAAUCCAAAGAGCGAGUGGGGGAAAAACUGUAAGAGAAGUAAACAGUGGUUCGUCAUCACAUUCAUGCUCAGGCUGCAUGGACGUAACACUGCCUUUAUUUUACGUCUUGUGCUUCACCCUGAGAUUCUGUUGUGUCUAAAGAUUUCUUCUUCUUCUUCUUCUUGGAAUCGCUUUUUGUCCACACAACCUUUUCUUCUUUUAAAUGUGAUUCAACUUACUAGGCUGUAUUAUCUGCAUUUUUUCAAAUAGAGGGGCAACUUAUUCACAAUAGUUACCAGCCACAUGAGAGAUUUCACAUGUUUUUAUUCCGGCUUAGCACUAAAACGACGAGAACGCGUCACAACAUGGUGUUGUGUUAUCUAUCAGAUGCUGGAAUCGAGGCCACAUUGCCGUGUGAAGAUCAGUUUUGGGGUCAGGAUCUCCACACAGUUGUAAAGUCUUCAGAUUAUUUCAUUAUUUUUAUUAUUAGCACUAGCAUUUUUAUUGUUAAUAUAGAUGAAAAGACUUGAAUAUCUUUCAGAAAACCAGCCUCGAUCAAUUUGAUGCUUAUUUUCACCUGUAGCAUCUCCAAAGUGAAGCUUUUCCUGUUUUUUUCCCCUAAAGCGACAUGAAUCACUGACCUCUUUAAAUCGCCACUGUGAAAUGUUUUUUAAUGAGAGUCACUUUAGGGGUCCCAAAGCAUUCUGGGUCCUGGGGGUCUUACACCAUGCCUGUGAGCAAGCAGUGAAGUCCUCCGGUGCAGCAGCUCACAUAGUAGGGAGCUCCUGGUUUGGGUGAUUAAGGAUGUGUUUAAGUCUCCUCCUCCCUGAAAUUUCUCCUCCAGGCCAGGCUUUUUUUUAAAAUAGGCUCACCUGCUUAAAGGAGACAUGAUAGCAAUUACAGUAAAGUCAGAAUAACACACACACACACACACACACACCGGUCAGAAGACAGUUUCUGUUUUUAUGAGGUGUGAGGACGAUAACAUGGCAGAAAUAGUAAACAGAUGAAGUGAUGUCUACAGUGACGGACAACCAGAUUAAAAAAAGCCUUUGACCAAAAUGAUUUCUAUUUCAGAGAAAUUAAAAGAAAUUCAUUUACAGAGCUUUGAUCCGAGGAGUUAAGAUGCUGGUGUGUGUGUGUCUUCUUCUUGUUACGCGAUCAUAUUGUGAUUUGGGGUUUUAAAUGAGUGCAUUUUAAUUUCAUUUCUAUAGUCUGUGAUGUGCUGUACGUGUUUGUAACUGGACACACACUUUACAGGAAAUUCAACAAAGACACAGCGCUCUGAAAUAAUGUUUCUACAUAUAUUAGGACGUGCCAUCUUCUAGUUUUUCUUUGACUUCGUCCUUUAGGUUAUUUAUUUUCUCCUGUGUGAUGUAUUGAAAUCUUAAUUUGAAGGCACAAAGAGAAAGUUGUGUAUCAUUUGCGUCCGUUUUACGUUUUUCAGAUGUGUUUGUGCGUGUGUUCUUUACAAGUAUUCAUAAGUAACAGCCUGAAAUUAAUUAACAUGUGCAUGUGUGUGUGUGUGUGUGUGUGUCAUCCACGUCCAAACUUAGAACAUUUACACUAUACGUAGCUGUUCUAUGUUUAAUUUCUAUGAUUCAUUUGUUGAAAUCUUACAGAGACACUGAUGCAUAAAUAUCACCAAGUAUCUUUAAACUACAUUCACGUGUUCUGCAUUUGUAUCCAGCAGAAGUGUUUGAAAUAAGACCAGUUGAGUUUUCAGUUUUCAGACGUACGCUGAGCAGCCAGACUCUUAACACUGAUUAAAUAUAAACCUGUAACACAUGUUCAACUAUCUUGAACUAAAAAGAAAUCUGAUCAAAUUCUCCAAAAGUAUUCAAAAUGUAGAACUUCUUUGAGUACACCAUUGAGCUUUUUUCCCCCCUCAAUUUAACAGAUGACAAAAAGAGAGACAAGACACAGAGAGCGAGUUGAGUCAAUGUGCGUCUUUGUUAGUGUUUUCUGAUACGUGUGUGUGUGUGUGUGUGUGUUACCUUUUACCGUACACUUCCAAUCUUGUGCUUUCUUCUCUCCUUGUUUGUUAAAAUUAAUUGAACCAAAUUUGAUAUUUGAUCUCAUCCUGUCUCAUUCUGUCGUGUCUUUUUACUUUUCUUCUUUGUCCUAACGUGCCACAAUGAUGACGGACUGAAUGAAAAAUCUUCCAAGAUUCAUUGAAUGUUUCAAUGAUGAUUUCUUCUGAUUAUGAAUGUUAUUUUCUAAUUUAAGUGUACACCGUUAACUCUGUGUUUUGUUUCAGAAGGUACCAUGGUUCGAUGUUGCUUUUUACCUUUUAUACAGGAGCUUAAUAAUAAAA